AUUGAACGCUGGCGGCAGGCCUAACACAUGCAAGUCGAGCGGAGCGGCAGAGGGGGGAGUAAUGCCUAGGGAUCUGCCUGGUAGUGGGGGAUAACGUCCGGAAAUGGGCGCUAAUACCGCAUAUUAUAAGAUGAGCCUAGGUUGGAUUAGCUGGUUGUUGGGUUAAUGGCCUACCAAGGCGACGAACGGUCACUGGUCUGAGAGGAUGAUAAGUCACACUGGAACUGAGACACGGUCCAGACUCCUACGGGAGGCAGCAGUGGGGAAUAUUGGACAAGGGGCGAAAGCCGGAUCCAGCCAUGCCGCGUGUGUGAAGAAGGUCUUCGGACUGUAAAGUACUUUAAGUUGGGAGGCGUUACCAACAGAAUAAGCACCGGCUAACUUCGUGCCAGCAGCCGCGGUAAUAC
rnacentral:rRNA from 1 species